CCUACGGGAGACAGCAGUGAGGAAUAUUGGUCAAUGGGCGGAAGCCUGAACCAGCCAAGUCGCGUGAGGGAUUAAGGCCCUGCGGGUCGUAAACCUCUUUUGCCGGGGAGCAGAGGUCCGGACGUGUCCGGGCCGGGAGAGUACCCGGAGAAAAAGCAUCGGCUAACUCCGUGCCAGCAGCCGCGGUAAUUCGGAGGAUGCGAGCGUUAUCCGGAUUUAUUGGGUUUAAAGGGUGCGUAGGCGGGCAUUUAAGCCGGCGGUCAAAUGUUGGGGCUCAACCCCGGCCUGCCGUCGGAACUGGGUGCCUUGAGUGGGCGAGAAGUAUGCGGAAUGCGUGGGGUAGCGGUGAAAUGCAUAGAUAUCACGCAGAACCCCGAUUGCGAAGGCAGCAUACCGGCGCCCUACUGACGCUGAGGCACGAAAGUGCGGGUAUCGAACAGGAUUAGAUACCCGAGUAGUC
rnacentral:rRNA from 1 species